CCAGGCUGGGCCGAGUCACCACGCUGCUACGGCCACUCUACUGACUCCACUGCCCAACUGUCCUCUAAACGAAGCUGACAAGCGAUCGGCAUCACAUGCCCCCAGUGGGACAUCACCCACCAUUUCAAGUAACCUACUCCAUAUUAAUAUCAAAUUAACUCUAUAACCUAUUUACUAACACAUAGUGUAACAUUUACCUGCUGCUGCACUCUUGUCUUCUAGGCCCGGACAUGGGGAAUGAUCCUAUAAAUCCAUAAAAAAGCUAUUAACAAUGAUGACCUCAUUCCAGACAAGAGUACUGGCAAAAUUGGAGCACAUGGACGAGGUGCAGCAGGAACUCAAAAGGCUGGUGUGUUCAGCUGUCCCUGCCCAAAACACAGAAGUAGAGCCAUUGCCCAGACCCAGCAGCAAUCAAGCUGAGCUUAAUGCCCUCUGCGACCGUGUCAGAGGAGAGGAGCACUUCAGAAAACAGCUUAUAUCCUUCCUGUCCCUAGACGGCUCCAAUACCAUGGGCAAGACAGUGAGGUGUAUGAUGAGCCGUCUUGGGAUCACA